rnacentral:misc_RNA from 1 species
GCCCAUCCACGCUCGGUGUCCUUCCACAUACCUCUAAUGAAGGGUAUGGCCUGGUGCGGACAAUGGCCCUCCGAGCCGCGUGGCGCGGAGAGCUAAAGCAUGUGUUUGUUCGCAUGGGGCUAGGUGCGGCGAGUGGUGGGCCGCUGCGCACGCCAUCCCGGAACCCUGUGUCGGCAGUGGCACUGUUUUGAUCCCCCGAUGUGGAUCCCGUGCUCUCAGUGUUAUUCUGUGUGGCAUCUUCGGACA